UUUUAAUAACCUAUUUUCUUAGGUUAGUUGAGAAAUUGAUUACUAGAUAAUUGAUUUCUCAAGGCUUUAAAUUUUUUUUUUCAAAGCUUAGUGAUAAAUUGGUUACUUAAUAAUUGAUUUCUCAAUUGAGUUGUUUUUUUUUCUCAUUUUUUUAUAUUUUAUGGUGGAGAGGUAGAGACUUGAAACAAAUACUUUUCACCUCCUAGUUGGUGAGUGCAUGAUCACUUUGAAAGAUGGGGUGCUACAGUUGGAUUCGAGGAUCGACAACAAAUCAGUCACUGGACCAACUUUCUUUGACUAAGAAUAAUUGUGUUAUGAGUUGUUAGGCUUCAUACCUCUAAAAAGGGAAGCUCUGAUUGACUCAAUCAUAAAACUAAAAUGGUUAAAAGAUCAGACAAUUGCACUACUGGAUGAACCCACUGAACAACAAUUGCACCAACAUUGUAGGACAUAUAUUUUAGGAUUAAUUGGUGGUGUAAUUAUGCCAGACAAGCUAGGUAACAAACUUUACUUAAUGUAUUUACCAUUGUUGGCUGACUUGGAAUAUGUAGGACGAUAUAGUUGGGAUUUUGUUUGUUUGGCACAUUUGUAUAGAGAAAUGUGUAGGCAAUUUAACUUAUAUAUCACUUUAAUACAUCGAACAACUACAUUCUACCUAAUUUUAAUUAAUGUACAAUUUUUUUAGAUGGUCACGAAGAAGACUAAGAUUUACAGACACGCCUCAUGGAGAUUUACUUGGCUAUAGAUUAAGAUAUGACAACAUGAAUUAUAAUGAGUUUCUGUGGAUGCCAUACAGGGGAUUUGAGUCCUCGUUGCCAACAUGCUUAUAAGGAUUCCAAAAUAUAGACUUCUUGUACUGUUUUAACUUCAUUUGAGUCCUCGUUGCCAACAAGGAACUGAUAACCUCCAAGGUGUGGAACUGAUAGGCAUAGACAUCAUUAAAUUAAUUUAAUGUUAUGUAAUUUGGUGGAUUGUGAUUGCGUUGUUGUUCUUGUUUAUUCGAUCGCAUAUUCUGUUGGGAUAAAUAUUUCAAAAAUGUUCAUCUCAAUGAAAGUAUUAUUUGA